UCUCCGUUGGUGAACCAGCGGAGGGAUCAUUAUAGAGUUUUCUAAACUCCCAACCCUUUGUGAACUUACCUUUGUUGCCUCGGCGGGGCCUACCCGGUACCGACCCCUUUUGGGCGAAGUUACCCUGUAGCCCGCCGGUGGAUAACCAAACUCUGAUUUAACGACGUUUCUUCUGAGUGGUACAAGCAAAUAAUCAAAACUUUUAACAACGGAUCUCUUGGUUCUGGCAUCGAUGAAGAACGCAGC
rnacentral:misc_RNA from 1 species